AACAGCUAAUGGCCAGUACAGAAACUAAUCAAUUUAAUCCGCACUCCAUUUUUAUGCAGUAGAAUUUAAAAGCCAGAAAGAUCCGACUUCAGCUAUAAAUACCCCCAUACCACUUCACAAUUUUCAUCACUCACACUCGCAUUCACAAAGUCUUUAAUAUUCAUAAAUUGAAUUCUUUGAGAAAUGGCUUCCAAGUCAUCAGCAGCCCUUUUGCUCUCCCUCAACCUCCUGUUAUUCGUUGUCCUUACCUCAGCCACAAGGACUGUGCCUGG
rnacentral:lncRNA from 1 species